UACGAAAGGUGCAAGCGUUACUCGGAAUCACUGGGCGUAAAGCGCACGUAGGCGGACUCGCAGGUCAAUUGUGAAAUACCUGGGCUCAACCCGGGAACUGCAGUUGAAACCGCUUGUCUUGAAUACCUGAGAGGGUGGGGGAAUACCUGGUGGAGAAGUGAAAUUCGUAGAGAUCAGGUGGAACACCGGAGGCGAAGGCGCCGUGCCUGGCAGUGUAUUGACGCUGAGGUGCGAAAGUGCGGGGAGCAAACAGG
rnacentral:rRNA from 1 species